rnacentral:rRNA from 1 species
UACGUGGGGUGCGAGCGUUAAUCGGAAUUACUGGGCGUAAAGCGUGCGCAGGCGGUAAGUUAAGUCUGAUGUGAAAGCCCCGGGCUCAACCUGGGAAUGGCAUUGGAAACUGGCUUGCUGGAGUGUGGCAGAGGGGGGUGGAAUUCCGCGUGUAGCAGUGAAAUGCGUAGAGAUGCGGAGGAACACCGAUGGCGAAGGCAGCCCCCUGGGCCAACACUGACGCUCAGGCACGAAAGCGUGGGGAGCAAACAGG